UACGGGAGGCAGCAGUGAGGAAUAUUGGUCAAUGGCCGAGAGGCUGAACCAGCCAAGUAGCGUGCAGGAAGACGGCCCUAUGGGUUGUAAACUGCUUUUAUCAGGGGAUAAAGUGAUCCACGUGUGGGUUUUUGUAGGUACCUGAUGAAUAAGGACCGGCUAAUUCCGUGCCAGCAGCCGCGGUAAU
rnacentral:rRNA from 1 species